GACGAACGCUGGCGGCGUGCUUAACACAUGCAAGUCGAGCGGUAAGGCCCUUCGGGGUACACGAGCGGCGAACGGGUGAGUAACACGUGAGCAAUCUGCCCUUCAUUCUGGGAUAACCCCCGGAAACGGGAGCUAAUACCGGAGAAUACCACUACACGCAUGUUGUGGGGGGGGAAAGUUCUGGCGGUGGAGGAUGAGCUCGCGGCCUAUCAGCUUGUUGGUGGGGUAAUGGCCCACCAAGGCUUAGACGGGUAGCCGGCCUGAGAGGGUGACCGGCCACACUGGGACUGAGACACGGCCAAGACUCCUACGGGAGGCAGCAGUGGGGAAUAUUGGACAAUGGGCGAAAGCCUGAUCCAGCAACGCCGCGUGAGGGAUGACGGCCUGCGGGUUGUAAACCUCUUUCAGCGCAGACGAAGCGAAAGUGACGGUAUGCGCAGAAGAAGCACCGGCCAACUACGUGCCAGCCGCCGCCGUAAGAC
rnacentral:rRNA from 1 species